rnacentral:rRNA from 1 species
ACCUUCCCAGAACAGGUGAAUAGCCCUCCGAAAGGAGGAUUAAUACACCGUGAGAUAUGGAUGUGGCAUCACAAUCAUAUUAUAGGUAGCAAUACCGGUUUUGGAUGGGCGUGCGCCUGAUUAGGUAGUUGGCGGGGUAAUGGCCCACCAAGCCUCCGAUCAGUAACUGGUGUGAGAGCACGACCAGUCACACGGGCACUGAGACACGGGCCCGACUCCUACGGGAGGCAGCAGUAAGGAAUAUUGGUCAAUGGACGGAAGUCUGAACCAGCCAUGCCGCGUGCAGGAUG